CUGGGAUUACAGGUGUGCACCACCACACCCAGCUAAUUUUUGUAUUUUUAGUAGAGACAGGGUUUUGCCAUGUUGGCCAGGCUGGUCUUGAACUCCUGGCCUCAAGUGAUCUGCCUGCCUUGGCCUCAGCCUCCCAAAGUGCUGUGAUUACAGGUGUGAGCCACUGUGCCUGGCCCGGUUCAGCAAAAUUCUAAUGCAAUAAAAAAAUUGGGGGAGCUCCUUUAAGUUCACCAUUAUUUGCUUUAAAAAAGUCAAUUUCUCUUUACAGAUCACUUACUUAUUUGGAAAGGGAAAACUGUACCUUUUCAAUGCAAACAUUUAGCCGUCACCUUCAAACUUAGCAUCACUAAUAGUGAAACAUCUGACAUUAUGAGCUCUUGAUGCAAUGCAACAUGAUGAAUGAAACAUCAUCCACGAAACUUUCUUGCCAAAAUCUGUUUAACUUGAAUCUAAUUAAGCCUCUAGGCCGGGUGUGGUGGCUCACGUCUACAAUCCCAG
rnacentral:lncRNA from 10 species